UACAAUAUGCUUGUCUCAAGGAUUAAGCCAUGCAUGUCCAAGUAUAAGCACAUCUUAUACAGUGAAACUGCGUACAGCUCAUUAAAUCAGUUAUUAUUUCUUUGAAGGUGUGAUACAAACUACAUGGAGAUAACUGUAGAAAAUCUAGAGCUAAUACAUGCGUCGAGCUCCUUUUGCGUUGAGCGGGGGGAGUGUGUUUAUUAGAUCCGAGCCUCUUGGGUGUGGUGGCGACAUUGCACUCUUUGUUGGUGAAUCAUGGUAACCGUUUCGGAGCCAGG
rnacentral:rRNA from 1 species